CAAAAUGCACAAGAACAUUUUUUAAUAUAUAACGACCUCGGGCUAGCCAUUGUAAGGUCAGGGUCACUUUCCCCAACAGUGCGUGUGUACUGGAGGCGAGCGAAAGCUCGGGAGAGAGGCGAGAGUGUGGUGGAGACGGGCCAGGGCAGACGGUGAACAGAUCACCAGGUGGAAUCCAAGCAGCAGUGCAGCAGGCAACGGGAAAUCAGACCAAACACUACUCAGUUCCAGGUUGGAUGGUGUCCUCGGGUCUCUGCUGUAUAGCUUGAAAAAAGGAAUCCUUGGUAGCAGUAAUCCCUCCAGGAACAUCCACCAGAGCUGUUGCCAGAGAAUUGAAU